GCCAAGGCCGCAUACACUCGGAGGAUCCAGGGUCAGUUCUCGUCCAUCCGUGAAAUCCUACGCCCGCUUCGACGAUCCGAACAUCCCAGCACCAGGCUUGCCCCUCCACCAGGAGAAGAGCUGCUCAGUGUGACCACAGCAGAGGCGAGGAGGACCCUCCAAAGGAUCAACCCACGUAAAGCUGCUGGUCCCGACAACAUUCCUGGGUGGCUGCUGAGGGACUGCGCACACCAGCUGACGGGGGUACUGAUAGACAUCUUCAAUACCUCCCUCCAACAGGCGACAGUCCCCACCUUUCUGAAGACUGCCACAAUCAUCCCUAUUCCCAAACCGUCCACAGUGACAGGCCUGAAUGACUAUCGGCCAGUAGCCCUCAUCCCGAUAGUCAUGAAGUGCUUCGAAAGACUGGUCAUGGCCCGCAUUAAGGAUUCUAUCGACGUCACUGAGGAGCUCUGUUUGUCCGCCUCCCCUCAGGAAGACGUCUACGGAGCAUCAAAAGCAGGACCACCAAACUGAGGAACAGCUUCUUCUCUGAAGCCUUUUCCCCCACUGCACUACCUACAGUGGGGGAAAUAAGUAUUUGACCCCUUGCUGAUCUUGCAGGUUUGCCCACUUACCAGAAAUUCACAUCAUAUGAAUUUAUAAAAAUUGAUAACCAUCUGAUGAGGAAAAACAAGUAUUUGACCCCCUACCAAACAGCAAGUAUUCUGGCUCUUACAAGCCAGUUUGUCUUUCUUUAAGACACAUCUCCAAUCCCAACUAAUUAUCUACAUCAAAUACACCUGCCUCACCUUGAUACCUGUAUAAAAGACACCUGUCCACACCCAAACAACCAGCAUCCAACGUCUCCACCAUGGGCAAGACCAAAGAGCUUUCUACGGACAUCAGGGACAAGAUUGUUGACCUGCACAAAGGCUGGGAUGGGCUACAAGAGAAUCGGAAAGCAACUUGGAGAGAAAAGAUCAACUGUCGGUGCAGUAAUCAGGAAAUAGAAGAAGCACCACACCACCGCCAACCUCCCUUGAUCUGAGCCUCCACACAAGAUCUCGCCUCGUGGGGUGUCCCUGAUCAUACAAACUGUGAGGAGUCAUCACAAAACCACAAGGGAGGAAUGAAUCAACUGAAGGCAGCUGGGACCACAGUUACAAAAGAAACAGUUGGUAACUGUUGGUGUACUCCGGUUGCCAAGCAACGGCAUUGCCAGACUCACUGUUUGUGUUUCUGUGCAAUGACAAUAAAGAGUCGAAUAAAGAAGGUCUAAAUUAUCGACAAUUCCAUCACGCUAAAAGAACUAGUGAUGAGCUAGAACCUUCUGCAGGAUAAUUGGUAAUAUAGUACGCUGCCAAGUGAUUUUCAAGUGCUGUAGAUGAAUUACAUACUCCACAAGGGGUUGGUGCAGUGUUAAUCUCAUCACAACCCAUUAAGACUAUCAACAUGUCUGGUUCGCUGCAUCGUCCAUGCAAAAAAAAAAAAAAAACACAAACUGAAAACCAAAACAGACAGUUGUAAAAUAACAAGAAAAAAUGUGUAUGUUGAUAUAACAGAACGGUAGAUGUCAAGAACCUCCUAAAUACUUUCACUGGAUAUUUAAUUUCUUAUACCAUUUUAACUGCUCAUUAUUACAAAUAGGUCAGAGUUUUAAGACCUGGUCAAAUGACUUGCAGUAGAACAGUAAGUGAAGUGACUUUGAAUAUGAUGUGAACGUUAGUGCCAGAUGAGAUGGAAGAAGUAUAAGCUGAACCUGAAUAUAGAUAAAAACAAACUACAGAAGUCUUAGCAAAAAUGUUUUGGAUGAAACCUUAUCUUGAAUUAUAAACAAGGUCUGCACAAUGGCACGUGUGAUGCUCUCCUAAAACAUGUCUAUCAAAUGGUUAGAGUAGGUCAAAUGGCAGCCAAAAACAAAUACAUUUCAAACCAUUAAGUCUCAAAUUUGUCAAAUGUUGAAGUUAAAGUUAUUAAAGAAUAGUUUAAAUUAGACAAAAACUAGCGAAAAUGCAUGCAAUAAGAAAAUGUUUCUUCACCAACAGAAUUAAUCAUAGCACAGCCAUAGGUCUAUGGUAAAAAAAGUAAUCAUGUUAAGGCUAUAAAAAUGUAAAAUUACAUUCAGAAGCACACCAAAACUUUUCCAAGGUACACAAGUCACCUUUUGAAUCAUACUGAGUCAAUAUCAGGGUAUAGAAAGGUGCAACAGACAAAUUUCAACAACAGAGCAACAAUAUCAUGUACUUAAAUUCAAGACUAUCUGCCAACCUUUGACGCAUUCAGAGAUAAGACACGUGAUGAAUUCAUGAAAUAUAGGAACAUUUGAAGGGCUAAUUUGAAGUUAGGAGUCUAUUUAUAGAAAUAAAGACCUUUCAUUACUUUC